ACUUGCUUCAGCAGGACAUAUACUAAAAUUGGAAUGAUAGAGAGAAGAUUAACAUAGCCCUUGCACAAUGAUAACAUGAAAAUUCAUGAAGCAUUUUAUAUAAAU
ensembl:snRNA U6 U6 spliceosomal RNA